UUGCAUUAGGAUGCAAAAGAAAAGAAUCCCCCUGCUUUCUGUCUUUGUGGCAGCCCAAAUUGAAAAUAGGGAAUACGUAA
rnacentral:snoRNA from 1 species